rnacentral:rRNA from 1 species
CCGCCUGGGGAGUACGGUCGCAAGAUUAAAACUCAAAUGAAUUGACGGGGGCCCGCACAAGCGGUGGAGCAUGUGGUUUAAUUCGAUGCAACGCGAAGAACCUUACCUACUCUUGACAUCCAGAGAAUCUAGCGGAGACGCUGGAGUGCCUUCGGGAACUCUGAGACAGGUGCUGCAUGGCUGUCGUCAGCUCGUGUUGUGAAAUGUUGGGUUAAGUCCCGCAACGAGCGCAACCCUUAUCCUUGUUUGCCAGCGAGUAAUGUCGGGAACUCCAGGGAGACUGCCGGUGAUAAACCGGAGGAAGGUGGGGACGACGUCAAGUCAUCAUGGCCCUUACGAGUAGGGCUACACACGUGCUACAAUGGCGCAUACAGAGGGCGGCCAACUUGCGAAAGUGAGCGAAUCCCAAAAAGUGCGUCGUAGUCCGGAUUGGAGUCUGCAACUCGACUCCAUGAAGUCGGAAUCGCUAGUAAUCGUGGAUCAGAAUGCCACGGUGAAUACGUUCCCGGGCCUUGUACACACCGCCCGUCACACCAUGGGAGUGGGCUGCAAAAGAAGUGGGUAGUUUAACCUUCGGGAGGACGCUCACCACUUUGUGGUUCAUGACUGGGGUGAAGUCGUAACAAGGUAGCGCUAGGGGAACCUGGCGCUGGAUCACCUCCUUAUACGAUGAU